UACGAAGGUGGCAAGCGUUGUUCGGAUUUACUGGGCGUACAGGGAGCGUAGGCGGUUGGAUAAGCCCUCCGUGAAAUCUCCAGGCUUAACCUGGAAAGUGCAGAGGGGACUGUUCAGCUAGAGGAUGGGAGAGGAGCGCGGAAUUCCCGGUGUAGCAGUGAAAUGCGCAGAUAUCAGGAGGAACACCGGUGGCGAAGGCGGUGGUCUGGGCCGGAACUGACGCUGAGGAGCGAAAGCGUGGGGAGCGAACAGG
rnacentral:rRNA from 1 species